GUAUCCAUUCCUCUGCCUCCACCAUCUCGCCGAGUGCCAGGCAGCAGAGUCACUAAUCCUCAACCUGGAGGAAACUGUCUAGCACCUGACCAUGGGGCCGGACCGCAACACCCUUCACCACCUCAACUCCCUGCACCUGCAUUUAACAUGAGGAGAGUUACUCAAGGAACGGCAGUCCCUCCUCAACUCCCUCCACCCCCCGUACCAGCCCUCAACAUGAGGCGAACAGAGGAGCCCUCUUCAAGCCUGGCCUACAGACCAACAUAGCGAGGGGGAAGAAUGACCGAUACCAUUCCCUGCUCUGUGGCUGAGGUCCACAUCCUUAGCCUGCUGGAGACCAUUAAACAGCAACAAGACCAGCUUGUGGCAAAGGUGAACUACCUCAGCAGCAGGCUGAACAGCACUCCGUGGGCC